CUGAGGCAGAGAGACACUUCGGGCUGCCGCCAUGACAAGCGAGAUGUAAGGAAAUUCCGUGUUUGCUGCUCACCUAGGCACCUGUGAGUUCUUUUGUACAGAGGCAUGUGGCCCCUGAACAGAAGAAGUUCAUGUCAUCAUUGUGAAAAGUGAAAUUUAAAAGUAGAAUAUGAGAUUAUCUGGAUAAGUGGACCAUUUUCACCAACUUUUGCCAGCCAUUGGAGCCCUAGAAUGGUCUCUACCAGCCUUGUGGCUCCCCGAGAAGGCCAACUCCCAAGUUCCCACCUCUGGACCUGACCUUUCUUUGAACCUCCAAGCCCACAUCUCUGCCUGCCUGCUCAGUGUCUCCUCUUAGAUGGCUCCUUGAGCAUCACAUACAUGAGGCACCCACAGAAGUCAGGACAAAGGGCUGGGGCCCCUGGAACUGGAGUUACAGAUGUUAUGAGUCACCACGUGGGUGCUGGGAAUGGAACCGGCGUCCUCUGUGAGAGCAACAGGAACUCUGAGUUGUCCCUCCAGUCCCACUGGCUGGCUGCUUUCAUUAAGCCUGGCCGCACCUGAACUCCUGACUUUACGGAUGUGUGCCCGCUGCACCUGAAGUGCCCCCUUCUCAGGAAACCGAACCUGUAGUGGGUAGCCAUUCCAGCUUGGAUCUGGAAGUUCCAACCCGCAUUGAGACUCUGGCAACUGUCACGCCUAUGAG